rnacentral:rRNA from 1 species
AUGGCCAUGCUCGUGCUCGCGCUACUCCCCCUGUUCGCCACGUCCGCGUCCGCGGCGGGCGGCUGCGCGGCCGAGGCGUCAUUGUCGUCGCCCAACGGAAACGCCUACGCGGCCUGCAGCGACCUGCCCCGCCUCGGCGCGACGGUGCACUGGACCUACGACCGCGCCGCGGGGUCCCUCUCCGUCGCGUUCGUCGCCGCGCCGGCCGCCCCGGGCGGGUGGGUGGCGUGGGGGCUCAACCCGUUCGGCGAAGGCAUGGCCGGGGCGCAGGCGCUGCUCGCCGCGCCUUCUUCCUCGUCCGGCGCGUGGGCCGUCCGGACGUACAACAUCUCCGGGUACGCGCUAGGCGCGCCCGGGCCCAUCGCGUUCCCGGCGACCGGCCUCGCCGCGGAGCUCGGCGCCGACGGCCGCGUCAGGGUCUCGGGGACGCUGAGCGUGGGCCAGGGCGCGUCCGUCCUGAACCAGGUCUGGCAGGUCGGGCCCACGGUGUCCGGGGACGGCAUUCCCGCGCCGCACGCCAUGGGCGGCGACAACCUGGCCGCCAAGGCGAAGCUGGAUCUUGUCAGGCAGACCAGCACCUCCUCCGACUCCGGCGGCAGCGACCUCGCCAGGGAGCGCAAUAUCCAUGGCAUCCUCAACGCCGUGAGCUGGGGCCUGCUGCUGCCCAUGGGAGCCAUCUUCGCGAGGUACCUCAAGACGUUCAGGUCGGCGGACCCCGCGUGGUUCUACCUCCACGUCACCUGCCAGAUCAUCGGCUACGGCGUCGGGGUCGCCGGCUGGGCCACCGGCAUCAACCUCGGCAACGCGUCCAACGGCGUCACCUACGGUCUCCACCGCAGCAUCGGCAUCGCCGUCUUCGCCCUCGCCACCCUACAAGUAUUUGCGCUGUUCCUGAGGCCGAGGAAGGAUCACAAGUGCCGCUUGUACUGGAACGCGUACCACCACGCGGUGGGCUACGCCGUCAUCAUCCUCGGCAUCAUGAACAUCUUCAAGGGGAUGGCCAUCCUGGGCGUGGAGCAGCGGUGGAGGACCGCCUACGUCGCGGCCGUCUGGGUGCUCGGCGCGGUGGCGGUGACGCUGGAGGCGGUCACGUGGAGCGUGGUCAUCAGGCGCCGCGAGGCCGAGCAGCACGGCAAGACCUUGCACGGCGCUGCCUAA